CUGCAGCCAAUUAAGCUGAGCAAGUUCUUUUCCUCACGGUGGCCAGUGGGCAGUGUCUGGAAACAGCAGGCUCCUUGGCAAUGUAGUAACCUGUUGCUUAUAUAGAUGGCCCUUAGGGACCUGGGAGACAGUU
ensembl:snoRNA SNORA70 Small nucleolar RNA SNORA70